UAGGGAAUCUUCGGCAAUGGACGGAAGUCUGACCGAGCAACGCCGCGUGAGUGAAGAAGGUUUUCGGAUCGUAAAGCUCUGUUGUAAGAGAGGAACGAGUGUGAGAGUGGAAAACUCACACUGUGACGGUAUCUUACCAGAAAGGGACGGCUAACUACGUGCCAGCAGCCGCGGUAAUACGUAGGUCCCGAGCGUUGUCCGGAUUUAUUGGGCGUAAAGCGAGCGCAGGCGGUUAGAUAAGUCUGAAGUUAAAGGCUGUGGCUUAACCAUAGUACGCUUUGGAAACUGUUUAACUUGAGUGCAAGAGGGGAGAGUGGAAUUCCAUGUGUAGCGGUGAAAUGCGUAGAUAUAUGGAGGAACACCGGUGGCGAAAGCGGCUCUCUGGCUUGUAACUGACGCUGAGGCUCGAAAGCGUGGGGAGCAAACAGGAUUAGAUACCCUGGUAGUCCACGCUGUAAACGAUGAGUGCUAGGUGUUAGACCCUUUCCGGGGUUUAGUGCCGUAGCUAACGCAUUAAGCACUCCGCCUGGGGAGUACGACCGCAAGGUUG
rnacentral:rRNA from 1 species